CUUUACUCUGUGUCUAACCCU
rnacentral:miRNA from 1 species